ACGGCAACGAUGACGGCACGGACGGUCCUACGGACGGAUCCGGCGUGGCCGCGGUGCAAGCGGCGGCGAGUUUCAUGGACGCAUGUGUGUAGACGGCGGCGGUGAUGGUCUUUUCCGAAAUCGAGUAGGAGCGCUGCGGCUGAAUGAGGCACGCCUUGACGCGUCGGCCGCCGCCGAUGGGGGCGCAGGCGCAGGUGACUUUAUCGCGCUCCAUCUGUGCGGCCAGUUUGCCCGCGACCUCGUUGCGCUCUUUGCGCAGCGCCCUGGCCUUGGCCUGUAGCGCCUGCCACUUGAUACGGUGGUCCUUCCACUCGGCACACAAGAUCGCUAGGGAUCGGGCCCUUUUGGCGUCGGUCUGCGCGGCAUCGGCGCUUCCGUCGUCGUCGUCGCUGUCGUCGUCGCUGCUGCUCUGGUCGUCCUCGUCUUCCCAUUGAUCGCUGUCGUCCUCCUCCUCGUCCUCCUCAUCCUCUUCGUCUUCAUCGUCCUCUUCGUCGUAGCCCUCGCUAUCUCCCUCUUCCUGCCCUUCGGCGUCUCCCUCAUGUCCUACACGGGGAGCGGGCAGGCCGAGCGACGGCAAAGCGCGCGACAGCGCCGGUAGCGGACCUUGCGCGUUGGUGGCGUGUGCGUAAGGGUCCUGGCCAUCGGCGGCGCUUCCGACGCGAGCGGCUCCGCGGAAGGGGUCGAUGGCACGCGCGCGGUCGGCUCCAGCAUGGACGGGAACGGCGUCGGGAGGAGCGACGCACACGACGCGCAUCCGCCGGUCGCCAUUGGCGGUGGCGGGCGGGUCCACGCAGGUCCUGUGUGGGUCGGGACCCGGUGGGAGACCGUGUCGAGGACGAAUUCGAUCGGCGGCAGCGCUCUGUGGUUGCGGCGGCGCCGGGCCGGCUCGUGCAGGGCGCGUAGCGCUCGCAGCGCUCGAUAUCAACAUCGGCGCGUCCCUUGUUCUCCUUUCCUUGGUGUCGGUCCUUUCCUCCCUCCUCUAGGCGGCCGCCUCCUGACGAUGCUGCUGUCGCGCGGUCGGUCGCCCCUAGAGCCAGGCGGUGCGCCCCUUCUUGACCUCUGGGUGGUCGCCUUGGGCGUGCUGCUCUGCGUACUGCCCAGCGACGAGAGCACGGCGACGCCUUCGCAUAGGCCGGGGACUGGCGACAAGGAGCAUGGUGUCAAUUUGCCGCCUGUUCCCCGUGCUCGCCCUCGUCGCUGACGCCGCAUCGCCCGACAGGAACAUAGAGAACAUGGCGACGGCCCGCGGAGGACGAGGAGCGAAAGAAAGAGCGAGACCGACAACAUAAAGAGAC
rnacentral:lncRNA from 1 species